AAAGUUGUUGCAGUUAAAAAGCUCGUAGUCGGAUUUUGGCAUCACGCCGCACUGUCUGCCGAUUGGUAAGUACGGAUUGGCGGGUGCUUCCUUCCGGUGCUGCGUUCUGCUCUUAAUUGAGCGGUUCGUUGGUUCCGGUUCUUUUACUUUGAGAAAAUUAGAGUGUUCAAAGCAGGCCUAUGCUCUGAAUAGGUUAGCAUGGAAUAAUAGAAUAGGACUUUGGUUCUAUUUUGUUGGUUUCUAGGACCGAAGUAAUGAUUAAUAGGGACAGUUGGGGGCAUUCAUAUUCCAUUGUCAGAGGUGAAAUUCUUGGAUUAACGGAAGAUGAACUUCUGCGAAAGCAUCUGCCAAGGAUGUUUUCAUUGAUCAAGAACGAAAGUUAGGGGAUCGAAGACGAUCAGAUACCGUCGUAGUCUUAGCCAUAAACUAUGCCGACUAGGGAUGUGGAGGCGUUAACUUUGUACGACCCUCCAUGCACCUUAUGAGAAAUCAAAGUCUAUGGGUUCCGGGGGGAGUAUGGUCGCAAGGCUGAAACUUAAAGGAAUU
rnacentral:rRNA from 1 species